AUUGAACGCUGGCGGCAUGCUUUACACAUGCAAGUCGAACGGCCGCGCGGGGCAACCUGGCGGCGAGUGGCGAACGGGUGAGUAAUACAUCGGAACGUACCCAGAAGUGGGGGAUAACGUAGCGAAAGUUACGCUAAUACCGCAUACGUUCUACGGAAGAAAGUGGGGGACCUUCGGGCCUCCUGCUUUUGGAGCGGGCGAUGUCUGAUUAGCUAGUUGGUAGGGUAAAGGACUACCAAGGCGACGAUCAGUAGCUGGUCUGAGAGGACGACCAGCCACACUGGGACUGAGACACGGCCCAGACUCCUACGGGAGGCAGCAGUGGGGAAUUUUGGACAAUGGGCGCAAGCCUGAUCCAGCAAUGCCGCGUGAGUGAAGAAGGCCUUCGGGUUGUAAAGCUCUUUUGUCAGGGAAGAAACGGCUGAGGUUAAUACCUUCGGCUAAUGACGGUACCUGAAGAAUAAGCACCGGCUAACUACGUGCCAGCCGCCGCAGUAA
rnacentral:rRNA from 1 species